GCUCUUCCGAUCUGGGGGAAUGAAGCCGUGUUUUACACAGUCCAUCAGUACACCAUUCCAAACAGAGGGUGAAGGAAAUAUAAACAGCACGCAGCAAUGGGUAAUUAAAGAUGGGUGGAGUCAGUCUGUUAAUCCCUCAGGACACCCUGAUUUGCAC